CACGUAGGGUGCGAGCGUUGUCCGGAAUUAUUGGGCGUAAAGAGCUCGUAGGCGGUGUGUCGCGUCGGCCGUGAAAACCCGAGGCUCAACCUCGGGCCUGCAGUCGAUACGGGCGGACUGGAGUUCGGCAGGGGAGACUGGAAUUCCUGGUGUAGCGGUGAAAUGCGCAGAUAUCAGGAGGAACACCGGUGGCGAAGGCGGGACUCUGGGCCGAUACUGACGCUGAGGAGCGAAAGCGUGGGGAGCGAACAGG
rnacentral:rRNA from 1 species